AGUAUUACCAUCUUUUCUGAAAGGCCCAGAGGCUGCAGCUGAGCAACAGGUGGCAGCUAGCCCAGCGUCUGGAGCAGAACUGAGCAUUCAACCCGAUCACCGAUGAAUCGUGUCUGCUGGCGCUGCCGGGACUUACCGGAGCCGGACGGAGGUUGAUCUGAGCUGAAUGUUCCCUCUGAGCUGAUCUCAGAUGACCGUCCCGCUGCGCUGCGCUGCGCUGCUGGGCUCCUGCUCACCAGCUGACCUCUGUGCGCGCUGUGCGCCCUGGCGCUGCUCUGGGAUCAGUUUACCGGACCUCCUCAAUCACACCCACCACCACACUGAGCGCUAACGCCACCCUCACAUAGGGCACAUCAUUCCCUGCUACUACCUUUACAGCCUUUAAUUAGCUGUUCACAGGUUACUGUGUCUCUAUGGCAGCUAAUCAGUGAAGGCAGCCAGCCAUAGACAAGAACCUUGGAGUGGAACACAGCACACAGGUAUAGGCAGAAAGUAGUCGAAGUAGUUUUCAGUAAAUACGUUUUUUGUUUAAUCACAGAAAAACAACAGUGCAACGUGAGCAACAGAGGGACUGACGAAGAGGAUUUAACAUGAACUCAAAUGGAUUGUCCUGGGAACAUUUUGAUCCUGACUGUUAAACAGAUCACCAUCACCGAUAAUAUAAAAAAAAA